rnacentral:rRNA from 1 species
UACGGAGGAUGCGAGCGUUAUCCGGAUUUAUUGGGUUUAAAGGGUGCGCAGGCGGAAUGUCAAGUCAGCGGUAAAAUUUCGGGGCUCAACCCCGUCGUGCCGUUGAAACUGGCGGGCUGGAGUUGGAGAGAAGUACGCGGAAUGCGCGGUGUAGCGGUGAAAUGCUUAGAUAUCGCGCAGAACUCCGAUUGCGAAGGCAGCUUACCAAGCUACUUCUGACGUUGAGGCACGAAAGCGUGGGGAGCAAACAGG